AGACUUCUUCCGCUUUAAGCUUGAAACCUAAACAAGAGGCUGCUCAGUGGCCUGUUCUGUCUCACCUUCCCAACACCCACACCCAGGUACCCUAGGGCAUGCACACGUGCACACACACGCACACAGCCUUUUUUUUUUAAACAUAGGCGGGGCAUAUGAUAGACACUGUUUUCCAUUUGCUUUUGUCACUGAACAUCAUACACGGGAGAGUCUUCUCCACAGCACACAGGCCCGAGCAUUUAGGCAGUGGCGUAGCGCUUGAUGUGGUGGGCACAGAUAGAAGUAUCAGUAAGGUGCACGCCUUUUAACCUUGGCUUUGUCCAGGGCUCUGGCUCCUUAAUUUGACAUGCCCUCCAGUGUCAACCCCAUGGCCUGCCCUGCUGGCCCCUCCUUUUUCAUCUCCUACAAUUCCUUUUUGUGCCUCAUCUAAGAAACCGGACCCUGACUCAGCCCUGUUUCUGCUUCUCCUUUUCUGUGUCAACCUCUACAUCCCACAAACUCUUGUGUUCUGUGUAACCAGGACAGAGCAGGGCUGGCUCCUUGAUUGCAUGGGGCCUGGUUGUCAUCGAGGCACACUUCAGGCUCGGCUGCUACACCAGCAGGUUAAUUUCCAAGAGAGGGGACACGGUGUCAUGAUCAUGCAGAUCUCUCUGUUGCCUAAUCCUGGGACACCCUGUCUGGCUACACGGCAGAAGAGGCUGCUUCUGACCCCUGGCCACUUUUCAGGACAUGAAAGCCCAAUUGGAACAAGGAAGCUCAGAAGGGUCCUGGGAGGAAACAGCCACUUGAGAGGUGGAUUCUCUGCAGUGAAACCUGGAGACGGCCCCUCCACUUGGCCUUCCCGGGCAGAGCGAAUUUAUCUUACAAAUACAUGCAGCAGAAGAGAGAGGUUACAAGGCUGUUCCCUGUGGUGUGGGGACUGGUUCAGGCCCAUGAAAUACUCUGCAGACUUCUGUAUUGGUACGAAAUGCUCCCAGGCUGGAGUGAACCAGCAAAGGCAGCGUGCAUGUGCAGGAUGCUGAGGCAGGUGACCUGGGGAGGCUCCAGUUGGAGGGCUCCAUGUCUCUGGAUGGAAGCACGAUGCUCUGCCAAUACUUGUGGUCUCCAGUGAGAGAACUGGAUGGCUGGAGGAGAGACAGAGACUUAUUUUUCACUGGAUGCUAUUUUUUACCAUUUGACUUUUGUACCAAGAGCAACUGUAAUCCAUCUAGCAGCUUAAGGACCCCUGGGGGUCCCCAAAACCCAUCCAAGAGGUCCCUAAUGUCUUUCUUUUUCCAACUAUUAUCUGUGUGAGGCUUGUUUUCCUUCAUAGACUUCAACCAAAGCAAUAUAUCACAAUGGGCUGGAUGCAGAAGCAGCUCUGGGGAUCCAGCUGCCUCCUAUUUAGCCAGGCAAUAGAGGUUUGCCAAAAUGGAAAAACAACGCCACUCUUCCCACUAAAACUUUUUCAUUUUGGAACACAUAAUUAUUUUCAUGGAAGUAUCACUUAUGUUAACAUGUUACAGUUUUAUUAUUGUUAUUUUAAGUAAAUUACUGAAUUUUUUGAAGUUCUCAGUUUUAAUUUCUAC
rnacentral:lncRNA from 1 species